GCGACGCCGCGUGAGGGAUGAAGGCCUUCGGGUUGUAAACCUCUUUCAGCAGGGAAGAAGCGCAAGUGACGGUACCUGCAGAAGAAGCGCCGGCUAACUACGUGCCAGCAGCCGCGGUAAUACGUAGGGCGCAAGCGUUGUCCGGAAUUAUUGGGCGUAAAGAGCUCGUAGGCGGUUUGUCGCGUCUGCUGUGAAAACUCGAGGCUCAACCUCGGGCUUGCAGUGGGUACGGGCAGACUAGAGUGCGGUAGGGGUGACUGGAAUUCCUGGUGUAGCGGUGGAAUGCGCAGAUAUCAGGAGGAACACCGAUGGCGAAGGCAGGUCACUGGGCCGCAACUGACGCUGAGGAGCGAAAGCAUGGGGAGCGAACAGGAUUAGAUACCCUGGUAGUCCAUGCCGUAAACGUUGGGCACUAGGUGUGGGGCUCAUUCCACGAGUUCCGUGCCGCAGCAAACGCAUUAAGUGCCCCGCCUGGGGAGUACGGCCGCAAGGCUAAAACUCAAAGAAAUUGACGGGGGCCCGCACAAGCGGCGGAGCAUG
rnacentral:rRNA from 1 species